UACGUAGGGAGCAAGCGUUAUCCGGAAUUAUUGGGUGUAAAGGGUGCGUAGACGGGUUAACAAGUUAGUUGUGAUAUCUCUCGGCUCAACUGAGGAACUGCAACUAAAACUAUUAAUCUUGAGUGCAGGAGAGGUAAGUGGAAUUCCUAGUGUAGCGGUGAAAUGCGUAGAUAUUAGGAGGAACACCAGUGGCGAAGGCGACUUACUGGACUGUAACUGACGUUGAGGCACGAAAGUGUGGGGAGCAAACAGG
rnacentral:rRNA from 1 species